ACCAUAUUUGCCAACAUACCAUGAUUGAGUCAAAGUUUAGGGAGAAAUGUGAAUUAUAAGAUUUUUAUAAUGCAUCUUUAGGAAGUCAGGAAGAGCCUUGUAGUAUCAGGAACACAGAGAACAAGCAAUUGCCUUGACAGCAUAGGAAUGGUUGGUGACAGUUGAUAAUUUAAUCUGAGAGAUUUUGAGUGACUAAUUCUGGAGCAGCUUGGUCAUACAGAUAUCUGGCUUAAUUGGAAGGCUGCAUUUUUCCCCCAUAAACCUUCUGCUGAUGUAUCAGGUUGCAUUUUUCAGUGUGAUGACUCAGUACUGUGAGUCCAAUUUCAUUCCCUUAAGCCUUCAUCCAUGAGUUACCAGUAUUACUCUGUGUAAAGGAAAAGUGAAUUGCACCUGUUCUCACAGUGUAAUUUCUUUCUGAUUUUUUUUCUAGAUUAAGCUCCAGCUUUUAUGAAGUCUGGAUGCAGCAGAUAACAUACUUUUCAUUUUACCCCUGAUACUACAGUGCUCUGGGUCUUGUUGGAAGGGACAGAGUUUUUCAGCUUUCUUCUUUUUAAGGGGAAACACAUCUGCCAAAGAAGAGAACGGCGUUGGUUGCGAUGUGCUUGAUACAGAAGAGGAAUGGAUGGUCAGCCCUAAAUUCUUCAGAGACGCUUGCAGCAUCCACUCCAGCCUCUGCUGACCCUACCACCUCUCUGCCUGCUUCAUUGAUUUCUGCAUGUGCUGCAUGGACAGCUUGAGAUAUCUUCAGGCUCUCUGCUGAGGAGAUGCCAGACAGAUUGGCUGAAGAGCUAAACACGUCAGUAAUGCCCAUAGCCAUUAAGACAGAUGUGAGGUUGUAUUUUUCCUCCAUCUUCAUGCGAGGUGUGCUUUGGAUGCCUGGUCAGACACAAUUUUUGCCAGCCUGUCUUGGGCUCAGCCCCAUGCCCUGUCAGCGAGGGGCCCAGAAGAACCAUGGACCAAUGACUGUAGGAUGGUGUAUGUCGCACCCUUGAUGGCUUUCUGUCCUGCCCAGAAGCGGUGACCACAUCCCCUACCUUUGUUACAUGGAAGGGCAUUUCUCGAGUGUCUUCUGCAUUAAAUGCUGUCUUCCACAUCCCUUUGAAGUAGAUGGCAUUAACAAGGACCAGCGUUGUAUCAAGAUCAGUGGAGCUUGAUACAAGCAAAUCUUUGAUCUGUCCUGUAAGAAGGAAGCAAAGUAGUGAGUGCUAAGACACAGUCUGUCUGGUUUGCAUGUAUGAGGCAAAGGGAUUGGAGGGUGCUGCUUUGUGGGGUUUUGUUUUCAUUGCAGGAGUGUUUUGUUUUAGAUGUCAACCAGCAAGCUUGAGUUGACUUCCUGUUCUUUAAAUGAUGGCAUGUGGAAUUCAAGUUCACGAGUGAUUUCAUACAGAACAACUAACCCUUAACCAGGCAUUUCUGUAAGGAGGCACGUAGGCUUGAAUGUUCACACACAUUCCCAGGAAUAUCUCAAACGUCCUUGGAAAAAGACUUGCAUAGAACAGAAGGAAGUGAAAAGCAAAGCAGGGAUACCGAUCUUCUGCCUCUCACUGUGCUUCCUUCUAAUACUUGAUUCUUGUUUUCUUCCCACCUUUUUCCUGAUAAAUGUACAUACACUCUUAAUCAUUCCUUUUCUUACACCAACCUAGUGGCCACAUUAUUUUCUUCCAUGGAAGCCCAUUUCUUAUCCAUCCAGCAUAUGCUUGUAAAAUGAUGCCAAUAUUGUAGGGAAGCUGGGACCAAUCUUGCAUGAGUUAUGCUCUCCUUGCACAGAAAGCACACACUGGCAUCCCUGCCUUUGUCAUAUAUAUUUAAAUGCACUGUCACCGCACACAAAAAAGUGUGCAAUAGAGUCAUCAGUUUCCACAGGAAAUAUCCAUUAAUGGAGAUGGAAGGAAUGGUCUUUCCAGAAGUUGUUCGGGUAAAGUAGUAACAAGGAAGUAUAUUAUAAACUCUUCUCUGAGCUUACCUUCUGUCUGCUUUUCCACCCAGGAGUUAAUAAGCUGUCUGGCUUGGUCUGAUGCUGUUUUGAAGUUCACUGUUUCCAGACCUGCUCUGUACAGUUUCUUCACACACUUUAGGUAAAUCUGUAAAGACAACAGUUGUAGCUACCAAGUCAGUUUUUAAAAAGACUGUGAAGGUGAAAUAAAAUGCAGUUAAAAUGUUCCAUGAUUUUUAUAAUUAUGCUAUUAGACUGUUUUCAUUGCUUAUUUCCUGGACGAAAUGGUUAAAACUGGGCCAGCAAAAUUAUUUCGAUGCAUGAUAUGUUAAGAUCUUUAAGAUUUUUAUUACUUUACCAGAUAAGAUUACGUAGUAGAAAUGCUGAAAUAUUUUCUUGAAGAAAUACCAAUCCAAAAACAGCUUCAGGUCAUUAGCAACUGUUUUGUUAUAAUAAAAUCCUUAUUUUUGAAGCAUUUUUCUCUAUUUUUAAAGAUAAAAUGUAUUUGAUUUAGAAUAUUUGUAUGUUUUAUUUUGAGAAUGUCAAAUGAAAAGCUGUGGAAGUCCACACCGCUGAGGUGAGUUGGAUUAACAGAUACUCUGGGCAGUACUCUUGGAUUAUGGGUUUAUACAGGAUCUAGCAAAAAAUCACUCUGUUGUACAACUCACCGGUAGGAUAGGACGUGACUUUUCUGCAUAGAGUCUGUUGGCAAUGCGGAGUGAAUAAUUGGCUUUUGAUGCAGUAAUAUCAGAGAGGAGUUCUUUAAAGAGUAGGUGGAUGUUCACGGAUUUGCCACACUGGGUUGUUGAAGAGGAGGAAAAAGGGUAUAAAUGUUAGCUUAUUUUACUAGAAAGACAACUAUUUAUAAAGUACAGAUCACGUAGGAAAACACACAGUGUUCAGACAUUUGCAAACAAAAUACAUUAGAGUCUAAAAGCUCCAUGGGAGAGAUGUUCUAUAUAAGCACGUACAACUGAUAGCAUUUGGUGACACUCAGUCUUGGUGAUAAGAAACAGAAAAUGUGAGUGAUUUGUCUGAUUGUGUUUUGUGAAUUGUUCUACAUAACCAUCUAAAUGCUCUAGCAAGAAGAAUAGAAUGGAGAGGAGAGGAGAG
rnacentral:lncRNA from 1 species